rnacentral:rRNA from 1 species
UGGGGAAUAUUGCGCAAUGGGCGAAAGCCUGACGCAGCGACGCCGCGUGAGGGAUGAAGGUUUUCGGAUCGUAAACCUCUGUCAGAAGGGAAGAAACCGCACUGUGCUAAUCAGCAGUGCCUUGACGGUACCUUCAAAGGAAGCACAGGCUAACUCCGUGCCAGCAGCCGCGGUAAUACGGAGGGUGCAAGCGUUAAUCGGAAUUACUGGGCGUAAAGCGCACGUAGGCUGCUUUGUAAGUCAGGGGUGAAAUCCCACGGCUCAACCGUGGAACUGCCUUUGAUACUGCUUAGCUUGAAUCCGGGAGAGGGUGGCGGAAUUCCAGGUGUAGGAGUGAAAUCCGUAGAUAUCUGGAGGAACAUCAGUGGCGAAGGCGGCCACCUGGACCGGUAUUGACGCUGAGGUGCGAAAGCGUGGGGAGCAAACAGG